AGAAGUUGUAGUUAAAGAAAUGUCUCCCCAUACUUAUUUUUAUUCAUUCCCUAGGCUAUAUCUCUUUAACUUACCUGGUUCAAUUACAUGUACAGCAAAAAGGUGAACUUUUGCCAUCAUUUUGUAUACAUUAUAGAAGUAAGAUGUGUUACAUUGUACAUAAUUGCCAGUGACUCAACUGUCCACCAGAGCUCACAUGAAUUGGAAGUAGGCAAUUAUAGCUACACAACUAUAAAACCUUCAACAAUGAGAAAAACUUAUAUCCAACAUGAAAAAUACCAAACAAUUCAAAUUAAGACACCAAAGACAUAAUUAAUAAUAAAACAAUUUAUGAAGAAAAUAUGACAGAUAUAAACGAACAACCACUGAACUACAGGC
rnacentral:lncRNA from 1 species